GUUCUAAAGUAACUUUGUAAACAAUUUCGGGGAAACGUAACAGAGUAAUUGUUAAUGCACAAGAACAUCGAGUUAUUACAGUUUUCACUUAGAAAGUUUUCAAGUAUAGCAAAUGUCUCCUACUGAAACGGCGAGAGCUGAACCCUCUUCUCCUCCAAGCUUGCAACAUUACUUCAGGGUGAAGAAUCCUUUUUACCCUCUGCGUGAAAGCAGAGAGGGAGAGGGCCAAGUGCAUCAAGAGUUGCCAAACUCCACAAAUCACCUGUACAUUCUAUCCUUCAAGCUUUUAUCCGAGUUUACAGAAAGAGCAUAAAAAAUAAAGCUCUUUGAAUGGAAAACCUUAGAAGAGUGACCAAUAACCCCGUUUCUUUCAGACAUAAUACACGGUAAAGUAAGAUAACACCCAUCACAUAGAAGGAAAAGGAUAAAGAAACCCAUGUUUCCCUUCAAUGAAGCAAAAGAAAGAAGUGAGACAACGAAAAGAAACAGGGAAGGAUGGUGGGAGAAAUGGGGGUGAGGUGGGGUGGGGGUGAGGGUGGAGGUGGGAAGAGUUAUUAGGACGAAGAGGGGAACCUUAGGCCUUAAAAAGACCCCUAACAUAUAUGCAUACUCUUGCUCCAGCCUUCUAUGUUCUCCUGGACUGAUGCUGAAGCAGAACAUGUUCUGGCAAAGAGAAGCCAGAAAGUAACCUUGAGACCUACAGAUGUACAACUGCACUAGCUAUUAUGAAAUCUUACCAUCUCAGCUAACAGCUUACAGAUUCGGGAUCUAUAUGUCCACUGCUUCCACCAUGAGAACUGAAUCCAGUAACAGGCAUAGACCGCUGAGCGAAAUUCAACAACAGCUUCUUUUGGUGGUCAUUUGUAUGUGGAAGACUAGCACGUAAAAGUUCCA
rnacentral:misc_RNA from 1 species